AACUUUUGUAAAUUAAUAUCUGUAUAAAUUAAUAAAAUUUUAAACUCCCAACUAAGGGUGGGCAUUUUACCCGAAAUCCGAAGCCGCACCCGAACCCGAUCCGAAAAACCCGAACCGAAAUCCGAACCGAAAUCCAAACCAAAAUCCGAACCGAAGUAGCAAAAUUAUCCGAACGGGUAUUGAAUUAGGGGAAAUUGGAUAUCCGAACCCGAACGGGUAAUAUCCGAACCCGAAUGGAUAUCCGAAGAUAACCGAACAUAUGUAUAAUUAACCUUAUAUUUCUAGUUUACAUCUCUCAUUUUAUGUUAAAUAUUUAUAUUGAUACUACACAUACUUUAAGUUCAUAUGAUACAUACAAUUACGGAGAAAAUGAUUUGCUAUUCACUUAAAAUGCAUGUCAAACUUUUUAUUUCAAAAAUUAACAAAAAGUUACAUCCAAAAUUUAAAAACAAUAACCCAAUUAAUGUAUUUAAAAACAAUAACCCAAUUAAUGUCUUUUUAGUUUUAAAAUGUUAUGUCCAAAUCUAUUAGCCAUUCAAUCUAUUAAAAUAAAAAAAAAAUAGUUAAGUGAAAGUUAUAUUUUUAAAUACAAGAAAUUUGAGAAAUGAAAAAUUUAAUAUAUUUUUUCAAAAUCUAAAUAUCCGAACCCGAUCCGAAAU
rnacentral:lncRNA from 1 species